rnacentral:rRNA from 1 species
UACAGAGGGUGCUAGCGUUGUUCGGAAUCAUUGGGCGUAAAGGGCGUGUAGGCGGUUUGUUAAGUCAUGUGUGAAAUCCCUCGGCUCAACCGGGGAACGACGCAUGAAACUGGCAAGCUAGAGUACCAAAGAGGGGGGUGGAAUUCCCGGUGUAGCGGUGAAAUGCAUAGAUAUCGGGAGGAACACCUGUGGCGAAGGCGGCCCCCUGGUUGGAUACUGACGCUGAGACGCGAAAGCGUGGGGAGCAAACAGG